GACGCUACGCGUGAUAGAUUUGCCGACGUAAACAUCCAGGCGUUCAAAUAAUCGCAGUCAUCGAUCCUCCAGUCUUUGUUUCGAUACCUUCGCAAACGUCUGACGUCAUUUUCAUUUUCGUAACAAAGACGAACCUAAACACGGUACAACGCAAAGUUCGAUAUGUCGCUGGAAUACAUCGUGGCGCUUUGCCUGUUCCUCGCGGGUUUAGUCCUCGCGGUCUUCCUGCGCUCGAGGAGGACCGACGGCGUGCCACCUGGACCCUGGGGGUUGCCGAUCCUGGGUUUCCUGCCCUGGAUAAACCCGGAUGCGCCACACGAGAGCUUCACAAUCCUGGCCCGCAAAUACGGCCCCGUCUGCGGACUGAGGCUGGGAUCCCUUUACACCGUGCUGAUCAGCGAAGCUCAUCUGGUGCGUCAGGCCCUCGCGAAGGAUUCGCUGUCCGGACGGGCCCCGCUCUUCGUUACUCACGGGAUAAUGCAUGGAUACGGGUUGAUUUGCGCGGACGGUGAUCUGUGGCGAGAGCAGCGAAAGUUCGUCGUUGGCUGUCUGAGGAAUCUCGGUAUGGUGAAGAUCGGGUCAAAACGGGACAAGAUGGAGUCCAGGAUCCUGACCGCGGUCGAAGAGAGCGUAUCGAAACUGAAGCAACGUUCGGCGAACGGAGGGGUCGAUCCUUAUCCGACCCUCCAUCACUGCAUGGGUAAUUUAAUGAACUUAUUGGUGUUCGGGAGAGUCUGGGAGGAGGAUGACGAGACCUGGAGAUGGUUACAGCGGCUACAGGAGGACGGAGUCAAGCACAUCGGAGUUGCCGGGCCGCUCAACUUUCUGCCGUUUUUGAGGCAUGUACCGAAGUACAAGAACAUGAUGAGAUUCCUCGUCGAGGGAAAGCUCAAGACCCACGAUGUCUAUCGUGCCAUUUCGGAGGAUCGCCGGAAGUCUGGAAGCGCGAGGGACUCCGUGCUCGCCAUGUUCGAGGAAGAAACCAAACGCAGACUGGCCUCAGGCGACAUUGGACACUUCAGCGAACCCCAGAAGCUACACUUGCUCGCCGAUCUCUUCGGCGCUGGAACUGACACAACAUUGACCACCCUGAGGUGGCUGCUUCUUUUCCUUGCCGCUUAUCCUCGCGAGCAGGAUGCCGCUCACAACGAGAUGAAGGCGGUGCUUGGACCGAGACCAGUCGAGCUCAAGGACCGGCCUGAUCUUCCACGUCUCGAAGCCCUCAUCGCGGAAACUCAGAGAAUCCGGAGCGUCGUUCCUGUCGGCAUACCACACGGUGCUCUUGAAGAUUCGGAAAUCGGUGGCUAUCUCAUACCCAAGGGAACGAUGAUCGUUCCUCUUCAAUGGGCGAUACACAUGGAUCCGAAAAAUUGGAAAGAUCCCGAGGAGUUUAGACCGGCGCGUUUCAUAGCCGACGAUGGUAGCUUCGCAAAACCGGAGAAUUUCCUGCCAUUUCAAAACGGGAAAAGGAUCUGCGUUGGCGAGGAACUGGCAAAGAUGACGUUGUUCCUUUUUGCCGGACGUAUAAUUCAGUCGUUGAAAGUAUCGCUGUACCGAUCAUCGGACGAGGCAGCGACGUUCGACCUUUCCGGGGAAUCUGGCAUCACUCUAACCCCGAAACAUCACAGGCUGAUAUUUUCACCGCGCGCGAUCGAACAAUAAUUACACGACAAGUGAAAAUUAUACUUUUACCCGCAAGAGGAUGAGAAAUAAAUCACGACUACGAUGCUGAUCUCUAUAGCCUUCAAUUACCGACAAAUAUUACGUUCCGAUCUUACCGAUACGCCGAUGCGUUGACGAGUUGUAAAAUUACAAACUUUAAACAAAAAAAAUUCCAAUGUUAUUUCAAUGGGAAAUAAAAAAAAAAUCGCGCCGAUGAACCUCCAAAUAUGAAACAUUAAGAGCUGAAACUUGGACGGCAUACUUUUUUCAAUAUUUUCAACUUGAAUAUUGAACGAAAAAAAAAAAAAUCGGUUUUUUUAUACAGUCUAAUGUACA
rnacentral:misc_RNA from 1 species